GAUGAGCGCUAGCGACAGGCUUAACACAUGCAAGUCGAGGGGCAGCGGGAUGUAGCAAUGCAUCGCCGGCGACCGGCGCACGGGUGAGUAACGCGUAUGCAACUUGCCUAUCAGAGGGGAUAACCCGUCGAAAGACGGCCUAAUACCGCAUGAAACAGGGGCCCGCAUGGGGAUAUUUGUUAAAGAUGCGAAUCGCUGAUAGAUGGGCAUGCGUUCCAUUAGGUAGUUGGCGGGGCAACGGCCCACCAAGCCGACGAUGGAUAGGGGUUCUGAGAGGAAGGUCCCCCACACUGGUACUGAGACACGGACCAGACUCCUACGGGAGGCAGCAGUGAGGAAUAUUGGUCAAUGGGCGAGAGCCUGAACCAGCCAAGUCGCGUGAGGGACGACGGCCCUACGGGUUGUAAACCUCUUUUACAAGGGAAUAAAGGACGUCACGCGUGAUGUUUUGCAUGUACCUUGUGAAAUAAGCAUCGGCUAACUCCGUGCCAGC
rnacentral:rRNA from 1 species